CUGACCCCUCAGGGGCCUGCCACAUCUGUCCUAGGAAAAGAGCAGUAUAAAGGUCCUCCAAGCAGGCUAGAGUGGCUGUAGGGGAAAGAGCCAGUGAGAGAGGCAACAGAGAGCAGCCAAUCAGGGCCCAGCAGGCCCAUAUAAAAGGAGCUGCCGGGCCAACAUGAGUUCAGUCUGCUAGCUGGCUCAGGGGCAUAAGAGGUGCUCUUGGCUGGCUGUAGGAGCAAAAGGGCUAGGUCCGGUAGUUACUGGCAGGACCUGGGGCAGUGAGAGAAUAGUUUCUGGCUGGCUGCUGGGACUCAAUUAAGAAAGGGUAUGGGGAAGUGGUCCAGAGUAGCAAUUACUAAAGGGAUGCAGCAUGAGGCUGCUAUACUUAAAGGGUCCCUGGGCUGGGGCCCAGAGCAGUAGAUGGGCCUCUGUCCCCCCACCAGCCACAGGGGGGAAGUGGCUAUGCCCUAAGGAAGGGAAUUAGAACUAUAAUACCUGCACGGGGACUGAUUCAGCUGGGAGUUGUGGUCAGAAAACUGAGCCCAAGAGGGGUGGCUCAGCAGGAAAGGUAGGGUCACUCAGGACUCUAGUAGAGGCAAGGAGUCCCCAGCCAAGAAGCCCUUGGGGUGCUGCUCAAUACCAGAGUAGGAGACUUGCAACCUAGCUAGACCAAGUGAGGGUACUGCGAUGGGCCUGCAGGACUGGUUAAAGACUGAGCCCAGGGAGGGCUGCAGAGAAGGACACACCAACCGAGGGUACCCGAUGGCCCUGUUGAACUGUUUUAGAAGACUGGGCCCAGGGAAAGGGGCUGAAAUAUGUUGGGGAUAUUUUGGAUUCUGUACCCUGGAAAGAAUUGGUUUAUUUCACACGUGGGCGGAGUGUGACUUGACUGGAGGGCUGAGUCACUGAAGACCCGCCUGAUGAGUGCAGCAGCUGGCAGGGUGAGCUAGGAGUGAAGAAAAUUGAGAAGAAACUACAGGGGCACACAUGCUCGACCAGGAGGCGCUCACAGGAGGUCUCAUGCACCACACCCAAUAGGUUACAAUGGAGAAGGGUGAUGGAAGACAUCUAAGACCCACCUACAGAGGAAGAUCCUGGUGGGCAUGCAGGGAGAGCCAAGCCUGCAGAGCCCAGUGGGCAUCCAAGCCCACUCUGACCAGCCUGGGUCCUUGGAGCAGUGGCAAACUAGACUGGAUCUGAGAACAAGUGGCUUCUUCCUCUGCUCUAGUGGCUGUCGCUCCUCCUCUGGCUGGUGGCUGCAGAUGUCACUGCAUCACUUCCAUUCAGUUCACAUUUUCAGAGUUUUUCUUUGCAAGCAGGAGGGAGUAGAAACAUUUUUUGUUAAAUGAAAGUUGAGGUUCUGAUCCCAUCACUGCACCAACCUGCAUGGAAACUGGAGAGCGGAGCCUGCACUGCGGAAGGGAAGAGUCUGAAGGAGGCACCAGAAAGUUACUCUGUGCAGAUGGUUAGGAAUGCUAAGGUGCAGGAGGAGCAGCUCCAGCAAUAGUUGCUCUAAUAAGGAGCCAGUUUUGUUUAAUAGAAAUGGAAUGUUCUCCUUAACCAGUCACAUGUCUUCGUGCUCAUACUCCUGCCUUAAUCCAGCCCUAGCUUUGGGUGUGUCCAAACUUCACUGAGGGGAGACCAGAGGAGCACACUUACAGUGAACACCUAGCAUGAGUAGCAUCUCUCUGAGUUAGUCUCUCAAGUAGGCACUGAAUUGUGGGUGGAGCUGAGAAUACCACUCUCCUUUUCGCAAUUCAAGCUCUGCUUUUGUGUCUAUAUUUGUUAUUACCGUUGUCUUAUGUCUCAGAGCCUUGUUAAGCUUGACUACAGUACAUAAUAAAUGAAUAACUGUAAAGACAAA